GAUGAAGAACGUAGCGAAAUGCGAUACGUAAUGUGAAUUGCAGAAUUCAGUGAAUCAUCGAAUCUUUGAACGCACAUUGCGCCCCUUGGUAUUCCAUGGGGCAUGCCUGUUCGAGCGUCAUUUGUACCUUCAAGCUCUGCUUGGUGUUGGGUGUUUGUCUCGCCUCUGCGUGUAGACUCGCCUCAAAACAAUUGGCAGCCGGCGUAUUGAUUUCGGAGCGCAGUACAUCUCGCGCUUUGCACUCAUAACGACGACGUCCAAAAGUACAUUUUUACACUCUUGACCUCGGAUCAGGUAGGGAUACCCGCUGAACUUAAGCAUAUCAAUAAGCGGAGGA
rnacentral:misc_RNA from 1 species